rnacentral:piRNA from 1 species
AAGGAAUAAGCUCACUGCCAAAGCU